rnacentral:rRNA from 1 species
ACGUUAGCGGCGGACGGGUGAGUAACACGUGGGUAACCUACCUAUAAGACUGGGAUAACUUCGGGAAACCGGAGCUAAUACCGGAUAAUAUUUCGAACCGCAUGGUUCGAUAGUGAAAGAUGGUUUUGCUAUCACUUAUAGAUGGACCCGCGCCGUAUUAGCUAGUUGGUAAGGUAACGGCUUACCAAGGCGACGAUACGUAGCCGACCUGAGAGGGUGAUCGGCCACACUGGAACUGAGACACGGUCCAGACUCCUACGGGAGGCAGGAGAG